rnacentral:rRNA from 1 species
UGGAAGUAAAAAGUCGUAACAAGGUCUCCGUUGGUGAACCAGCGGAGGGAUCAUUACCGAGUUUACAACUCCCAAACCCAAUGUGAACGUUACCAAACUGUUGCCUCGGCGGGAUCUCUGCCCCGGGUGCGUCGCAGCCCCGGACCAAGGCGCCCGCCGGAGGACCAACCUAAAACUCUUAUUGUAUACCCCCUCGCGGGUUUUUUUAUAAUCUGAGCCUUCUCGGCGCCUCUCGUAGGCGUUUCGAAAAUAAAUCAAAACUUUCAACAACGGAUCUCUUGGUUCUGGCAUCGAUGAAGAACGCAGCAAAAUGCGAUAAGUAAUGUGAAUUGCAGAAUUCAGUGAAUCAUCGAAUCUUUGAACGCACAUUGCGCCCGCCAGUAUUCUGGCGGGCAUGCCUGUUCGAGCGUCAUUUCAACCCUCAAGCCCAGCUUGGUGUUGGGACUCGCGAGUCAAAUCGCGUUCCCCAAAUUGAUUGGCGGUCACGUCGAGCUUCCAUAGCGUAGUAGUAAAACCCUCGUUACUGGUAAUCGUCGCGGCCACGCCGUUAAACCCCAACUUCUGAAUGUUGACCUCGGAUCAGGUAGGAAUACCCGCUGAACUUAAGCAUAUCAAUAAGCGGAG